rnacentral:rRNA from 1 species
CCUGUUCCCAUCUCGAACACAGUAGUUAAGCUCGUAAACGCCGAAAGUACUUGGCUGGAGACGGCCUGGGAGGAUAGGAAGUCGCUGAUU